UUAUUAUUAGCUUAAUGGUAAAGCAAAAUAUUAAAAAAUAUUUUUAAUUUAGUUCAAAUCUAAAAUAAUAAU
rnacentral:tRNA from 3 species